rnacentral:rRNA from 1 species
CCUACGGGUGGCAGCAGUGAGGAAUAUUGGUCAAUGGACGCAAGUCUGAACCAGCCAUGCCGCGUGCAGGAAGACGGCCCUAUGAGUUGUAAACUGCUUUUGUACGAGGGUAAAUCCCGAUACGUGUAUCGGGUUGAAAGUAUCGUACGAAUAAGGAUCGGCUAACUCCGUGCCAGCAGCCGCGGUAAUACGGAGGAUUCAAGCGUUAUCGGGAUUUAUUGGGUUUAAAGGGUGCGUAGGCGGUUCGUUAAGUCAGCGGUAAAAGCCCGGGGCUAAACCCCGGCGAGCCGUUGAAACUGGCUGUCUUGAGAGGUCGAGAGGUAUGCGGAAUGCGCAGUGUAGCGGUGAAAUGCUUAGAUAUUGCGCAGAACUCCGAUUGCGAAGGCAGCAUACCGGCGGCGAUCUGACGCUGAGGCACGAAAGCGUGGGGAUCGAACAGGAUUAGAUACCCUAGUAGUC